rnacentral:rRNA from 1 species
GUCCUAGCCGUAAACGGUGCACGUUUGCUGUAAAAGGAAUCGACCCCUUUUGUGGCGAAGCUAACGCGUUAAACGUGCCGCCUGGGAAGUACGGUCGCAAGAUUAAAACUCAAAGAAAUUGACGGGGCCUGCACAAGCGGUGGAGUAUGUGGCUUAAUUCGAUGCAACGCGAAGAACCUUACCUGGCCUUGACAUGUAUUUAGUAGAAGGGUGAAAGCCUGACGAGGUAGCAAUACCAGAAUACACAGGUGCUGCAUGGCUGUCGU